GCAGAAACAUUUUUGAGUAUUUGAAACACUACUCGGACCAAAGCUCAGUGUGGUAGAAACUUACUGGGAUUAACAGUGAAAGCCCAAAAUGGCCUUUAAAUAAUGUUGUCAACACUUACGGUACCAUCACUGGCUGAUAUCCUCAUGGUGAAACUGCUUUUUGUUUUUGUU